rnacentral:rRNA from 1 species
UGUUUGAUGUUCUAACGUGGACCCGUGAUCCGGGUUGCGGACAGUGUCUGGUGGGUAGUUUGACUGGGGCGGUCUCCUCCUAAAGAGUAACGGAGGAGCACGAAGGUUGGCUAAUCCUGGUCGGACAUCAGGAGGUUAGUGCAAUGGCAUAAGCCAGCUUGACUGCGAGCGUGACGGCGCGAGCAGGUGCGAAAGCAGGUCAUAGUGAUCCGGUGGUUCUGAAUGGAAGGGCCAUCGCUCAACGGAUAAAAGGUACUCCGGGGAUAACAGGCUGAUACCGCCCAAGAGUUCAUAUCGACGGCGGUGUUUGGCACCUCGAUGUCGGCUCAUCACAUCCUGGGGCUGAAGUAGGUCCCAAGGGUAUGGCUGUUCGCCAUUUAAAGUGGUACGCGAGCUGGGUUUAGAACGUCGUGAGACAGUUCGGUCCCUAUCUGCCGUGGGCGCUGGAGAACUGAGGGGGGCUGCUCCUAGUACG